UCAGGACUAAGAAAUGCAUACCUAGGUUCCUUAGGCAAGGGUUUCAGUUCUAUGUUUUGUAUGAUCUCUGCAGUUGGUGGUGUGUUCGGAUCUCCUAUUGAUGAAUCAUUGGGUGGAGGGUAUAGUUCUAUAUGCUUAGGAUCUUCCCCUUCAUCAUUAUAAACAGUUGGAAUGAACUUGUUGAAUGGGUCGUUAUAGAUUUC
rnacentral:lncRNA from 1 species